CCUACGGGAGGCAGCAGUGGGGAAUAUUGGGCAAUGGGCGCAAGCCUGACCCAGCAACGCCGCGUGAAGGAAGAAGGCUUUCGGGUUGUAAACUUCUUUUCUCAGGGACGAAGAAAGUGACGGUACCAGAGGAAAAAGCCACGGCUAACUACGUGCCAGCAGCCGCGGUAAUACGGAGGGGGCACGCGUUAUCCGGAUUUAUGGGGUGUAAAGGGCGUGGAGGCGGGAGCGCAAGUCAGAUGUGAAAACUCAGGGCUCAACCCUGAGCCUGCAUUUGAAACUGUGUUUCUUGAGUGCUGUAGAGGCAAUCGGAAUUCCGUGUGUAGCGGUGAAAUGCGUAGAUAUACGGAGGAACACCAGUGGCGAAGGCGGAUUGCUGGACAGUAACUGACGCUGAGGCGCGAAAGCGUGGGGAGCAAACAGGAUUAGAUACCCCUGUAGUC
rnacentral:rRNA from 1 species